rnacentral:rRNA from 1 species
ACGGCUCAGUAACACGUAGCUAACCUACCCUUUGGUUCAAGGAUAACCUCGGGAAACUGAGGCUAAUACUUGAUAGAAAAUAAUUUCUGGAAUGAUUUAUUUUUCAAAUUCGAGCCAAAGAAUGGGGCUGCGGCUGAUUAGGUAGUUGUUGGUGUAAAAGACUAACAAGCCGAUGAUCAGUAAGGGCUCUUAGCGGAGAAGCCCUGAGAAGGAAUCUGAGACACUAUUCCUAGCUCUACGGGGUGCAGCAGUCGAGGAAAUUUUACAAUGCUCGAAAGAGUGAUAAAAUAAACCAGAGUGUUUCUUUUAAAGAAACUUUUGUCAGUUGUAAAAAGACUGGCGAAUAAGGACUGGGCAAGACCGGUGCCAGCCGCCGCGGUAAUACCGGCGGUCCAAGUCGUAUCCACAUUUAUUUGGUCUAAAACAUUCGUAGCUUGUUUGAUAAGUCUCUUGUGAAAUCUGAUAUCUUAAAUAUCAGGCGUGCAAGAGAUACUAUCUUACUAGAGACCGGAAGACGCAAAGAGUAUUGUUGAGGUAGCGGUAAAAUGUGUUAAUCUCAAUUAGACUAACAAUGGCGAAGGCACUUUGCGAGUACGGAUCUGACAGUGAGGGAUGAAGGCUAGGGGCGCAAAAGGGAUUAGAUACCCCUGUAGUCCUAGCAGUAAACACUGCUCACUAAACAUUAGUACCUCCUCGAGAGGUAUUGGUGCUGUAGAGAAGUCGAAGAGUGAGCUACCUGGGAAGUAUAGUCGCAAGACCGAAACUUAAGGAAUUGGCGGGGGAGCAC